AAUGCACCAAUUUGUAAGUCGCUCUGGAAAAGAGUGUCUGCUAAAUGACGUAAA
rfam:Salmo salar isolate Sally breed double haploid chromosome ssa10, whole genome shotgun sequence.